rnacentral:lncRNA from 1 species
UUCUCUACAUCUGCAUCAUUAUUAUUUCCAUUUCAAUUGUUUGUAUUUAACCGGAGGUCCGGAGCUAGACUGAUGGGUUCGGUGUACUUACCUCGAGCAAGUUCAUCAUCAAGCUGACCAUCUCUAGUGAGAGUCAUCAUCAAUUGAGGUAACCCAAGAGGGAGAUUAUCACCUUUAUCGAUUUGCCAAAAAUGGAUGGUCUUCCCAUAAGUCUUGCAAACUUUUUCCAGAUCUUGCCUCUCGAUCGGCCCCGGAACUCGCGGCAUAAACAACACCCCACUCUUCACUUCGUACAAAUGUGAAUGCCAAAGCGGCUUCUCUUCGUCCGGCAACGUCAAAAACAAAUUCUCCGAUAUGAUGUACUCCAAUCCGAUGAGCUUUGCAUCGGCUUCGGGGGUGUCAUAUAUGAGACAUUGUCGCAUUUCUUCGUUUUGAUGUGCGCAGAAAUGGUGCGCUUGCACUUGACGGGUCAUGUCGUAGCCAUAGAAAUGAAAUCUACAACAAAAUUUAGAAUUUUAACUAUUUCUUUCUGGACUAGUACUCAGAUCAGUCAGUCAGACCAACGGAUCUGGUGGAGUUUAAACAAACAUUGGUGCUAACUAGCCGGAAUUAGCAACGUUUUUUUAUGCAUCAACGUCGCUAAAACGCUGUUCUUUUCUUUUAGCUACAUUUUAAAUCGUAAUGUAACAUCGCAAAAGCGUAAUUAAAUGCAGAUUUUGCUGUAACGAUAACAAAGUGAUAUCAAAUUAAAAAAACAUUGAAACAUAACAGGAAAUGAAGAUUAGAAGGGGGAAUUACGCGCAGAGGUGUUGAUGGAUUUGUUUGAUAGGGCGGAAGCUUUGGAUGGCGCCGGUGGCGGUCUCGACGAGGGAAGUGGUGGUUUGGGUGGGCUCGCCUGGAACUUGAGGGUGAUACAUGGUUUAAUUUUUUGGUUGGCUAAUUAGCGGUUUGGGAUUUAAGGAUCGGCGGAGGGUUUUAAGCUGCCGUGAUCGAAGAUUGAGAGUGUUGCUGGUGCAUGCAGAGUUACGCGUGGAAAGGGAUACCAUAGACGUGGCAAUGAACAUCGCUUCUAUUGACAGCUAUAAUCUAUAUACACCCUCAACCCCCAUCAACUCAAUUUAAUUUUUCACUGAACUCAAAUUUUUCUAGGCAUCGUUUAUUUAGGUAAAACAUAUUUUUCAUUACCACGAGAGCAAAGAAUCAUUGCAUCAUAAUUGAUGAUUGACUAUCUCAUUAGUUGAGAAGAUCGUGGUAAUGUAUUGACGUCUUUUUUUUGUUCGAGACCCAAUUCAAGAAAACAAGUUCUUUUCUCCCUCAUAAAAUUUAAGUUUACUAGCCUCACGACCUUCGUUUGGUAUGGGAUUAAAGUUCUCAAUCACUUUCUCUGUUCAAUGUAACUAGGUAUGGGACUUUGUUGUUCUUUGUCUUUAAGAGAUUUUUGUUCAGUUUUAUUUCUACUUUUUUUUAAAAUGAAAUGAAUUUUCAAUAAGAAAAUAAAAUCUUAAAUGGUUAAUAUUAAAUAUAUUUUUAUUUUUAUUUAAACCUAAUUAUUUAUAUAUAUAUAUAUAUCUUAAAUGAUUAAAUUAAUAUCAUCCAUCAAUCAAUAAGAUUUCAAUUCAGUUGGUAAUUUAUAAAAUAACAAAGGUGUAAUGUCAAAUUCGCUCUUAAUAUUUAUAAUUUUUGAGAUUUUGAUCAUUCUCUUUUUAAGCUCUUUAACCCUCAUUAUUACGUAAAAUUUCUGUUAAGUGGCAAAAACAAUGGACAUUUAGAAUAUAAAAUAAUUAUAUCCUAAAUUUCAAAUGAAAUACCAAUAAACUAUAUUAAAAUAUUAAAUUUAAUAACAAAGUCUUCAUCUAUGGGAAAGGAUAUUUGUAAGAAAUCAGGAUAUCAUUUUAUUUAUGUUACAUCAGCAUAAACUUUAGUAUUUUUAUCCGAUAAAAAUUAAAUUAAAAUUAAAAUCUCAAAAUCAUUAAUAUGACACAAAAUUAUUCAAAAAGAUAAUAUUUCUAUUUCAUAGAAUCAUUUUUCCUGUUAACUUUAAUUAAGUGUUUAGAAGAAGUCUAGUUACAUUUAUUUCAACUAUUUUCAACUUAUUGAUGUAUAUCAACAUGUGGUAGAAUAAAUAUCAGAUAUAUCAAAUUAGAUUUGAUAUUAAAUAUAUAUAUAUCGAAAAUACACAAAUAAUUAAGAACAAAUACUUAGAAAAAAAAAACAAAUAUGUUAUUUAUAUCCAGUACAUCACACAAAUAUCAAAAUUACAACAACAUAAACAUGAGGUACAAUGGUAGAUUCUGUUCUUUGAUCACAUCAGUUUCACCUCGUAAUUGCUGUUAAGAAAGGUAUACUCAAAAGAUACGAUGAUUCAAACGAAGACCCGGGGAACUGAAUCAGCAGGCUUACAAUCCACCUCCCUGAGUUUAGGGAUCAGCCCUUUCCCACCACCAUUUGCCAAUGGAUGAAUCCCAUGUGUUGGACCCGUCAACUCAGCUCUCUUCGCCCUUUCUUUCUCAAAUGAUACCCCAAAUCGCUUCUCCACAUCUGCCAUUCAUUUAUUCAUUCAGAUACCCCAAAUCCAAAUCAAAAAAAAAAAAAAAACACACUUCGAUUAUUACCUCGACCGAGUUCUUCAUCGAGCUGACCAUCUCUAGUGAGAGCCAUCAUCAAUUGAGGUAACCCAAGAGGGAGAUUAUCACCUUUAUCGACUUGCCAAAAAUGGAUGGUCUUCCCAUAAGUCUUGCAAACUUUGUCCAGACCAUGCCUCUCGAUCGGCCCCGGAACUCGCGGCAUAAACAACACCCCGCUCUUCACUUCGUACAAAU